AUUGAACGCUGGCGGCAGGCCUAACACAUGCAAGUCGAGCGGAUGAAGGGAGCUUGCUUCUGGAUUCAGGGGCGGACGGGUGAGUAAUGCAUAGGAAUCUGGUUGGUUGCGGGGUAUUACGUCCGGAAACGGGCGAUAAUACCGUAUUAGUGCAGAGGGAGUAAGUGGGGGAUCUUCGGACCUCACGAUAUCAGGUGAGUCUAGGUCGGAUUAGCUAGUUGGCGGGGUAAAGGCCUACCAAGGCGACGAUCCGUAGCUGGUCUGAGAGGAUGAUCAGUCACACUGGAACUGAGACACGGUCCAGACUCCUACGGGAGGCAGCAGUGGGGAAUAUUGGACAAUGGGCGAAAGCCUGAUCCAGCCAUGCCGCGUGUGUGAAGAAGGUCUUCGGAUUGUAAAGCACUUUAGUUUGGGAGGAAGGGCAGUAAGUUAAUACCUUGCUGUUUUGACGUUACCAACAGAAUAAGCACCGGCUAACUUCGUG
rnacentral:rRNA from 1 species